GAUUAUGGGGAACUUCGCCGUGCUUUACCGUGCAAGACUGAGAGGUAUCAAGGAUUGCUUGCAAUCCGCUGACGACCGGCGCACGGGUGCGUAACGCGUAUGCAACCUACCUUCUACAGGGGGAUAGUCAAUAGAAAUGUUGAAUAAUACCCCAUACGAUCAUGAAUUCGCAUGGAUUUAUGAGGAAAGUUCCGGCGGUAGAAGAUGGGCAUGCGUCCUAUUAGUUAGUUGGUAAGGUAACGGCUUACCAAGACAUCGAUAGGUAGGGGUCCUGAGAGGGAGAUCCCCCACACUGGUACUGAGACACGGACCAGACUCCUACGGGAGGCAGCAGUGAGGAAUAUUGGACAAUGGAGGCAACUCUGAUCCAGCCAUGCCGCGUGCAGGAAGACGGCCCUAUGGGUUGUAAACUGCUUUUAUA
rnacentral:rRNA from 1 species